GAGGCGGUCGCCAUCGCUGUCCAACACUACGUAGCUGGCCUGCAGGCCACGCCCCUCAGUACCUCCAUACAACACCUGAUAGGGAAGAAGACAGGAGCUGAUUGUACCAUUGAGUUUAAGAGAAGACGAGAUGAUCACAGCCGUCUGGACUUAGAUUAAUUGAAUGAGUGCCCCCUGACAUCAUGGUUUCGUGUGGAUCAUUUAGUUGAUGGUUGGUGUGAAGUGAUGAAGAACCAAAGAUUGUGUACAUCAUCUGAGCUUUUAAGAAGCUUCCUUAAUACAUUGGAAUCAGACAACCAGGACAAUUGAGGUCCUCCUGGAUAAGUCCAUAAAGAGAAGGGCUCGGUCAAUGAUGUCUCCUUUUUCCUUCAGAAUGGAGAAAUCAGACUUGGAGGAUCAGAAGAGUUAGGUCCUGUUGGCUGAUUGGAUAACAGACCUUUGGAUGCGGAGCAGUCCUCGUCUAGCACUUUGAUAUCAUACCAGUACCCUCUGCU